AUGAAUAGAUAAUGAGAAAGAUCAAUAUGGAACUGAUCAAGAGAGGAAAACUGGAGAUUUACACUCCAGGAUUAAGUGGAGGAACAAAAACUUCAGAUUUUCUUAGCUCAACAUUUUCCAGCAGUUUAAACGUAAGUGAUAUAGUACGGAGUACUGCAUAUCACUAACAGUCCAUUGUGGUAUCUGGCUGAGUGCACUCUGCAUGCCUUGACAAUUCAUAUGUAAUGUAAGGGCAUCAGCAAUUGAGGUUUAUGAGGUAUAAAAUUAAUUAAUAUUUUAUUUUUAUUUAAUUAAUAUUAAGAAAAUGCAUCGCAUCUAUCAUCUCACCGUCUGAUGGGAGGAGUUGAUGUAGACGAGACACUGUCCACAUGCAGCCUGUCUCACCUCUUGUGUUAUCGUGUCUUUAAUGAUGUAGUAACAGCAGCCGUUUCGAUUUUACAAUUUUCUCAAAAUGUCAAAUGAUUGGGUUUUGACAAAAAAAAAAAGUAGCAGCAGAUUAAAUUAACAUACAAUUUGAAUUUUCCAAUGCACUCAUUGGGAUCUAAUGUGAACUAUAAAAACAUGGAGUGUUUGGCUUUUGAUCACCUUCCAAACAGAAAAGCCAGUAUGUGGCGAGGAGAGUCGGUUAGGUUUUGUUGUCUGUCGUCCAGCCCACUGUCUCUCUACUCUCCUAUAAGUAAAAUGUCACAAAAUCGAAAUCAUUUGUCACCAAUUCUAGGAACGUAAUACCAAGGCAAGGUUUUAUAACUGGAAACGUCAAAGCUGAAAUGGAUUGUUGUUGUCGAUUUGUUUUCUGCAACAGAUUUAUAGACCUAAUCCAAUCUCCUCCUGAAUUCCCUCACACUCAGUGAAAGUGUAUAAAAACCUGCUGGCUCACACCGUAUAAAUUAUGCAGCUGCUAUGUGAGGGGCAGUAAGGUUUCAGCGCAGUAUAGCUGAAGUGUCCACUUUUAUGUCUCGCUGUGCUUCAUGUCACCUACUCCCCCUGACUAUUCGCUGCGGAGCCGGUCCUCUGGUCUUGUCCACUCUGCCUUUUGCAGCCUAAAUCAUCCUGUUCCAGGGGGUGUAACAUUUUAAAAAAUCUCUCCUGCAACUGUUCCAGUUUGUACUGUUCCAGUGUGUCCUCAACAUCACAAACAACAGCACAUAUUCACUCAAGUACGGGUGGACACUCUGCACCAGCUAUAGAAUAAAGUGGGUUGAAGUACACUCAGUGUGAAGGUAAUCACUCGGUCAUUUCUUCUGCCUCAGCGCCGACAGGAUUAUGUAACAAAGGGAAAACGCUGCCGUUUCUUUGGUCUGUGUUCCUUGCCUGGUAAAAGCCAUUAAAAGAUAUAAAAUCUGCAGUCACAUUCUUCAGUGGUGUAAGUAAUCGCUCGCUCACACACAGUGGAGACACCGUGACAGAGCACAUUGCGCCCCACAAACGCCCAUACCAAUCUGAUCUCUCCCCUGCAAUGCAGCGCUGAUAGUGAAAACAAACCCUCACAAGAUCUGGUGAUUCCAAACAUCAAACCCAACGCCAGUUACAGCCAAGUGUAAAUAAAUCCUGCUCGGUGUGUCAGUCCGGUCCAAUGAAAAGCCUCGCAGACACCAGUCCUACUUUGAUGAAGUGAUGCCAGCUCCUGACACCCUUCAUCGGUGGGAUAAGAGCUGAGCUGUGAAUGGAUGUGGUUCCCUGAUAUGUGGGCUGCUGUUGAACCAUCAUAUACUCACCACGUAUGAGACCAACACCACCCUCCCAUCCCCCCUCCCUCCAUCGCUCCAGCAACACAGGAGUGUGAUUCAUUAUUAAAGAGCAGUGCAGGCAUUCAAGCCUGAGUUUACAAGACGGCCAUUGUGAAUACUCCAAGGAUUAAAUCCAUCUAAGGAGCAGCAUCUGUGUUUCUACAUGUCCUCGGUCAUAGUCAGUAUAUGAACUGCGUGUGUGUGUGUGUUUGUGUGAGGGGCGGGGGGGUCAGUCUGAAGGCAAGACCGCAUUUGAUGCUCACACACCAGAUGGCAUUUGCUACUUGUGUAGGUGUUCAGUUCAGUGCAGGUCACGCAAUACUUCCCUGGUCUACUCCUGCAUACAGAUAAAAGGGCUUUUAUUUCCUUUUAUGUUUUUCUUCAUCAUCACCCACUGUCACUUUCUCUGCCCUUAUCAAUUUGUCCUUCUCCUGAAAGAGACCCAGUUGACAUUUAAACCCCUACAAUGUAUCUAAGAAGUGCAGAGACUGUCUGUCAUGCUGAAAUAUUUACACGUGGACCAUGGGUUAAUUCUUUUUCUAGGGUGAACUGGUCAGCUUGACCAGUGUUUACACAGACCGACAGUUGACUGCCAGUGGCAGCAUGGUGUUUAUGUACAUUGUUUUCUAAUGUCUGCUUAAAGGCAGGGCAGAACAUUUUGGAUUUACAAAAUCCAUUCUAACUUUGCUUAAAUGAAGAGUUUUUUGGGGGUAAAGACUGAACCAAAUAAUAUUAAUUUUUACCCAAACUAAGAAUGAAUGCCUCUAAUAUAUGAUAGGUCUGUGUGUUUCCUGUUCCUGCCGUCUGCUGUGUGGGGCUAAUCAGUGUCGUCACUCUCACCUGUGUCGCUGUGAUUAGGCUCACUCAUGUCACCUGGUGCCCUGGGUAUAUAUACACCUCUGCCUCACUCUUUGUGGGAUCAUUGUGUUGUGGCCAUGUUAGUAGUGUUCUGUGCUCAUGUUAGUAGUGUUCUGUGCUCAUGUUAGUAGUGUUCUGUGCUCAUGUUUUGUGUUUGCUGGUCAUGCCCUGAUGUUCAUGCCUGAAAUUCUGCUCAUCAUUUCUCCGUUCCUUGUUCUGAGUUCCUUGAUCCUCCAACCCUGUGAGAGUAAUUUUUGUACUUUGUAAAUAAAUUCACUACACCUAAAUAGACUCCCCCUGUUACUGCAUUUAGGUCCUGCCUGUCAUGUAGUCGAUUUUACACGUGCUUUUUAUGUGUUUUGGUUGUUUUAUUUUCUUAGACAAUUAAUUUGAUUUGGUAUCUGUCACAUCAAAAAAACUAGAAUGACACUCAAGAUCAGAGACCAUCAAAAAUGAAUUCACACAGCUAUUCUCAGUUAACGGCUUACGGCUGCACUCACUAAAAUCAGGGCUUUGGUUCAGAUGGUAGUUGUUGUUGAGACAAAUGUUCCCAUUAUUGCUUCACUCGAGCAUUUGUAGAAAACUGGUUGUAAUUGCGCGGGUGUCCCUGAUAUAUAAAGAGAGGCAGAGACGUACAGCUCGUUAAUAUGGCCCACCAAUCAAUGCCCAACGAUCGCUUUGUGGUUAUCUUCAAAUCCUUCCUCUUCCCAUCACCUCACCACAAUAACUCCUACCAACGGGUCAACAAACCUAGGGCUACAUUUUCACCCCCAACAUUUUAGUACUGCAUUUUGGUGCCUUCAUUAAAAGAUAACAGAACACAUUUUAAAUUGAGAAAUAAAUUACCGGACCUUUACUUUGUGUAAGCUAGUACUGGUCGGUACAUUAAUGCCUGACCUGCUGAAGCUGAAGCUGCUCUGAGACAGAGACAUGUUUCUUCUGAAUGUUAGAAAACACAUACACAUCCACAGACGACCACUAAAGCCCACUUAGACAAACAUGUCAUGGAGGACAUCCAUUAGUACAAGGUCAACAUCAGCUAUUUAUAUAAACUUCAAAAGAUGCUCUAAUUUAUCCCUUCCUGUUGCACAAAUAGUGCCUGAAACAACAUUCUGUAAUGGCGAAAAGCUAAAAACACUUUUCAGUUUCCAGAUUUGUUGUCUGUAAACAAAAAAAUAACAUUUGUAAACAUAUUACAUUUAAAAAUUGAAUUGCUAAUUAUGCUAACUGUUUGCCUUGCAGAGAAUUUAAAUUUUAAAGUAUUUUAAAAGACGCAUAAAGCUCUUUUCCCGUCUUAGUUCACUGUCCAAUUAACUGUGAGCUGGGACAAAGCAUGCAGUAAAAUUCAAUAAUGAAAAUGUCAAAUUUGAAUUUUAAAGCAGAUGGAUGGCUAUUAAUCUUGACCGGGCUGUGGUUUUGGGCCACAGCCCUGUUCUGAUCCAGUGAACACUGAAUAAAAGUGACAUUAACAGGAUUUUUGGACUAAUACUCAAAAUCAGUGACAACCCAGAUUUAUUUGGCAGGUAUUACAAUAACAGCAUGACUGCAGCAGACUAUAGAACAGGUUUACAGUAGAAACAGAACGUCUAUGUUCACUGGAAAACUGACUGAACACGUGUGAAACCAUUGCUUUGUGUACGUGUCCUUUGAUUGAAAUAACUGUAAAAUAAGUUUCCACACAAAUUAAAAGUUUGUAUCAACAAUAAAGACAAGGCUUUAACGUCAAACUGUUUCUCACUUCGUACAUGUUAAAACAACACGCUAUAUUGAAGAAAACGUGCUAGAAACUACACUAUGACAGGACUGUUGAUGUUGUAGAGUUCAAGGUUCAGAGUUCAGAGUUUGUAACAGCCUCUACAAUGAUGGGUGGAUUAGACAGCUGUAGCCAUAAACAGUUCAAAAGUAGCAAGUCAACAGUAUGCUUUCUCAAUAUUAUUCCUGAUGCAGAGCCAAACAUAAAUGUUUGUUCUCCCCUCUCUUAAGAGUGGGUGAGGUGACGAUCAAAGAAGCGUACAGUGUCUCGCAGACUGCUAUCAAGCAGCUGUUAUUUAUGGAACGCUGCCUGGGAAUGUUCCUUCUGAGGAACGUUGUCAGCGCUCUCCCUCUCAUCAAAACUUUAGCCAAGCACACACUACAUGACUUCCAGAGUUGGAGGAUCACAGUGCCUCCCACACAACAUGACAUGCUGUCUCAUUAUCAAGAGUCUUUGCAGUCACCGCAAGUUCACACAACCUACCUCAGUCAUGUGACUACAGCUUUGCUACAUCCGUCUUCCUUUAGGAGACAGCCACAAAUCACAUUAAAUUAAAACGAGAAAAUCACUGGCUACUCAGGAAAAUACGGUCCUAAAACAGCAGCUAAUGAACCAGAUUGGUUUGACUGCUAUUAAAGAUAAAGCAUAACAACAGGAUAAAACAUUAAAAUCACAGAUGCUAUUCUGCUGCUGGCGGUGUGUGGGGAGAAGCCUGCACUGUAACAGACUUUGGAUAGUUUGUGGAAAGUAGGCCAAAGUCUGUGAACAUCUUCCAUCUUGCCAACCUUCAGGGCCUGGCCAAUUAUAGUUACAGCAGCGAAUAUUCACUCACUGAAGCUUUUACAUCUCACAGGAGUUUGAGCAACAUCUUGUAUCCACGAGCCUACAUCUCAGGAGAUAGUUCCUACUCCACCAUCGUAAAUAUCAGCCCACGAAGGACCAGGAGUUUUACAUCUUUUAAGUUUAACAUUCUGUUUGGUAUGAGGGUAAAAGUUCAGUUCCAAUAACUGAACUUUCAGUUGUGUUUUUCCAAGUAAAUUUCAGCCUUACUUUGUGCCUGGACAAGACAGAGAGUAGACACAAACAUUUUACUAGUGCUCCCAAAUACAACAAUAAAGGAUCCAAUUAUUUUUCUUGUCGAGCAGAGCAUACUGCUUACUAACUCAAGCAUAUUGCUUACGCAGAUGACAUUUGUUUUACUGUUAGCAGGCAAGCAAAAUGGAUCUCCUGAGCAUAGGGAUACAGCACAAAAUUGCAUCACAUUCUAUCCUUCUUACUAUUCUGUGUACUUCUAUUUGUCUAACUAACAUAUCCAACAGGGCCUGGAACUAUUAAGUGUGACCACAAGCUAGCAAAAUGUUUAUAAAUUCAGUUUAAAGUGACAUCUUUCAACAAAUAUACAAAGCAGAACACUUCCACUCUUUCAGCUCUAAACAACCUUCAAAUUCAGAAUGUUCUCAUAUUAUUCUGUGUAACUCUGUUCCAGUGGGCAAAACUUAAGAGUUUGACGUAGAAAUUAGAUGAAAUCUGAUUGGGUCUUUGUAUCUUUGUGUUGUGGGGCAGACUGUAGGGCAGAUCUCCACAAUAUGACACAGUUUUCAUUUGAAAGCAUAACUCUGGAUCAAGCUGCAUGUCUGAUAGCGUCUGUCUACAUCCUCUAAACUCUCAUCAGCAAUUCCUCCUCUCAUCUUUGCCCUUACUGUUCAUUUCACUGCCUUCAUGAUCAAAAACUGAAAGGAACAAUGACACCCUUCAUAAAACUCAAGACAAUGAUGCAAUGUCCUUGCCCUCAUGUCCCAGUUCAAGAUGUCUUAAUCCUCCUUCAUUCCAGUAGAAAAAAACGGACUCUGCGUCACUCUGAAAAGCUUCCUAGACAGUUAUUGACAGUUAUUGUACAUGCCCAAUACUCGCUCUUGCUCUCUCUCUCUCUCUCUCUCUUACUGCAGGAAUCAGUCUCGUCUUGAUCCAGAGCUAAGACCUUCCUUUAUCUUAUUGCCUCCCACAGAAUGCAGACCACUGCAGCUCUGCUACAGAGACUGGAUUUCUGUGGAUCUGAUUCAAAUGGCUCAGCUAUUGUCUGGGAAAAAAAACACUUUGCCUUUUGGUAACGGAUGCUAAUAAUAUGCAUGCUAAAUUAAUCUCCAAAGGCUGCUUCAAAAAAAAGUAGCUUAACAGCUUCAGUGAGACGUCUGCCCUACUAAAAGAGUUUCACAGCUAUCUACAGCAAGCACCCAGGUAUAGCUUGGCCACAGUUACUGUAGCGCAUGAUGUUAACUGGAACGCAAAAUGUCUUUUGAUUAACUCAAUUUACAAAGAAAUCUUCACUGCUAUAAAGUCAUUUUCAGAGUGUCUUAAGCCAAAGAAUAUGACCUUUUGUUCGUCUGACGAGGGAAAUAGCCACAUUUUAAACCUUAGGGAAAUAUAAAUGGAUGGGCCAUGUAAAGUUUGCUGCUUUAAAAAUAAUGAAGAGCAUUUAGAUGCAAAUUAAGAUCUAAUUAUAGACUAUACUGCAUUGGUGAAAAUUCAAUGCGUCUUUGUGUUCCUUUGCUGCACCACUCACACAUACAGUAGGGCCGAUAAUUAUCUAAUUUAAUCAUGUAAUCUAUCAUUAACUAAACUGGAUUAAUGAUAGAGUAGAGGCAGAUUGGGGUCUUGGCCGGGAAGCCAAGUCAGCAAAUGCAGAUGCUGAGGAAGAAAGAAACAAAUGUAGGAUAGAAAAGAGCAGAGAGAUGGAUGAACAAGAGUUUAUUAUUUAUAAUCUGAUGCAGUGUUUCAGAGACUGCUCAUUAAUGCUACAUUCUGCUUUAUAUCUCUUGAGAAGAACAGGGAAAACAGGGACAAGGCACUGGUUCUAUCAGCACACGUGGUCGGUUAACACGUACUCUGUGACUCAGAUGGUGUGAAUUUCAGGGGUUCUUGUGGUAAUGACUGUUUUCGUCGCCGCACAAUUUGUAAAUUACGUCAAAUUGCUGGGGUUGAAUCACUAGGCUAUUAUUAUGAGAUGAGAAGAGUUUCUUCUGCAUGAUAUUGAAAAUCAUCCUAAUUAUGUGCAGAAAUAUACAGUUUAAAGAAUGUAUAAUUAAGGGAAAAAAAGGCCCAACAAUGACAGAGAAUCACCACAGACAAUUUGAAAAUGUACCCUUGUUAACCAGGUGUAAUCUUUUAAACUUUGAAUUUUUUCCUUUAUGUGUAUGUUCAAAACCAUAGCACCAUAACACGAUGCUCCAGCUUCUUUUGGAAGCUGGAGCAUCAAGUUGCUGACUAAAUACUACCACACACUGGUAGUGUAUUACAGAAAUAUGACACCAUCAUAUUAAAAGUCAAUGUACAGUGACAUCAUGCUCUUGUAGAUUCAAUCUAGGAACACAGUGCUGGAGGGGAAUUUCUUAUUGCAGUAUCAGCGACUUCUCUACAGUAUCUGAACCAAAAGUAUUUGACUUACAAUCAUUAUUUUAAAUGAUGGAUCACUGACUGCAGAUUAGUUCAUAGUUACUAAAGAUUUAAGAUGAAGAAGGCAGCUGUAUCAGCUGCGAGAAAGAAUGGCGUUAAAACAUAUUUUGUAAUAGUAAUAUUUUAUAUAUUUUUAGUAAAAUAAUGGAAUGGCUAAGAUUUCAAACACAAAACAGUAAUCAACAUGAGCUCAGGUAACUACAGUAUCUACCCAAAUUUGAUCAAAACAUUGACUGUAGCCAAGCACAGGAAGCGCAAAGUUACUAAAACUCAUUUAUUGCCAAAUAACCUCUUAUUGGCAAUAAUUUAGCCUCUUUGAGGUUAAAUACUAGAACGUCCAAGAAGGUAACUAUUUUUGGAUAGGAUGACCUGGAUGAUUGAGAACCUACACCGACACGUUACCUUUACCCUUUUAUACAACCAAAGUAUAUUUUCUAAAGUGCCCAGAAAUCUGUUUUUAGAACAUUGAAAGCUGUUGGCUCUCAUCAUUUCUUUGUCAUUUUUGCCUUUUAUUCGUCUUCCUCUUCUGAGAGAAAACAAUCAAACCAAUCAGACUGUGUUUGGUUUGUUUGCUUCUACCUGCUGGAGACUUUGAAGUCUACUGAAAACACCUUCAUAAACAAGCUUUUGUCAACUAUGCUCUCACUAGGGAGCAAAUUAUGGAGAUUGAACAACUGACUGAAGCUAAUUAUUAACAUUUAUGCCAAGUAUGAAGCUAUUGAUAAGCCUUCUAAGAUUACUGAGAAAAAAAGGAGGCUUACAAGGCUGUUCUUUUGUAAUUUAGCAUUGUUGACAAGGUAAAAGGAAAGACUGAUAAAUCAUGAAACGUUACACUGCAACCUGAUAAUGGACCAUGACAACACUUUAAUGAAAAUCUUUGAUAUAAAGGAAUUGAAGAAACGAUCUUUACCAGAAUGCAACAUAAAGUUCUAGAGGAAACAAUUUAAAUGUAAUUUUGAUAAUUUACCUUGUAAGACUGACUACAAUUGAAUCCAUCCUCUUGAGGGAGAAUAUAUUCUGUUAUCAUAUUUAGGCUUGACAAUUUCUCAUUAAUUAACCUGAUAAGAACUGAAUCGACAUUCUAAAUAUUUAUACACAUUUAUCAGAGUGGUAGGAAGUAAUUAACCGAGGAACUCGCUUUCAAAAAGCAUGUGCUCCUAUUUAAGGAAUUAAAGGCUCGACUUGUUUACUGGUGAUAUUCACAUUCACACUAUACACACACCUGAUCUCUGCAACAACAACGUGAUGACGGAGAGUGUGCCGCAUUUGGGUAUUUUUGCAAUCAUGGUUUUGCAAAAUCGGGGGGAAAAAAGCCAAGCAAGCCAAACAGAGAGAAAGAAACAGAGAGAGAGUCAGAAAUGUAUAAUAACCAGAGAGAGAGAGAGAUGCAGGAUGGAUUUUCUGAUUUUAUGUUGACUUCAGAACAAAACCAUUUGAAGAGAACAUGCUGUUUGCUCCUUCUGCAUGACAACUCAGUCUAUCAUCAUUCAUGGCUCACUUUAAAACAAUACACACCAUUUUUGGAGAAAAUGGAAGCCAUCCCCCAUCCCCUGUUCCUCAAAAAAAAUAAAAUAAAA